UACGUAGGGCGCAAGCGUUGUCCGGAAGUAUUGGGCGUAAAGAGCUCGUAGGUGGCUUGUUGCGUCUGCCGUGAAAGCCCGUGGCUUAACUACGGGUCUGCGGUGGAUACGGGCAGGCUAGAGGCUGGUAGGGGCAAGCGGAAUUCCUGGUGUAGCGGUGAAAUGCGCAGAUAUCAGGAGGAACACCGGUGGCGAAGGCGGCUUGCUGGGCCAGUUCUGACGCUGAGGAGCGAAAGCGUGGGGAGCGAACAGG
rnacentral:rRNA from 1 species